rnacentral:rRNA from 1 species
UACGGAAGGUCCGGGCGUUAUCCGGAUUUAUUGGGUUUAAAGGGUGCGCAGGCGGCCUGUUAAGUCAGCGGUAAAAGCCCGGGGCUCAACCCCGGCGAGCCGUUGAAACUGGCGGGCUGGAGUUGGAGAGAAGUACGCGGAAUGCGCGGUGUAGCGGUGAAAUGCUUAGAUAUCGCGCAGAACCCCGAUUGCGAAGGCAGCAUACCGGCGCCCGACUGACGCUGAGGCACGAAAGUGCGGGUAUCGAACAGG